AAGUUUGAACUGCACAGGUCCAUUUAUACGUAGAUAUUUUUUCAAGAAAUAUAUUGGAAAAUUUUUUGGAGAUUUGUGACAAUUUGAAAAAACCCACAGAUGAACCAUGUAGCCUAGAAAUAUUGAAAAAAUUAAGAAAAAGUUAGUAUAUAUCGUGAAUGCAUAAAAUAUUUGUAGAUACCUUUACACAGGCAUAAGAAAUAAAACCAUCAGUGACAAGCUCUUGGUACUUGUCUGGAAAGGAACCUGGCAAUAUGAACCAAUUUACUUUUGCAUCAGCUGGUAUCAUUCCUGUGUCUACCUCAUGAUCUCAUCUGACUUUCUGACUGAUGAUUGUUGCUGCAAGCCAUGGAAAGGAAGGCCUGGUGCCAGUGUGAGAAGAGUUUCCUCAAAAAUGUGAGCUGUGAGUUCAAAAAGGCAUAAACGUCUGCAUGGCUGACU